AAAUUGAAGAGUUUGAUCAUGGCUCAGAUUGAACGCUGGCGGCAGGCCUAACACAUGCAAGUCGAACGGUAACAGGAAGCAGCUUGCUGCUUCGCUGACGAGUGGCGGACGGGUGAGUAAUGUCUGGGAAACUGCCUGAUGGAGGGGGAUAACUACUGGAAACGGUAGCUAAUACCGCAUAACGUCGCAAGACCAAAGAGGGGGACCUUCGGGCCUCUUGCCAUCGGAUGUGCCCAGAUGGGAUUAGCUAGUAGGUGGGGUAACGGCUCACCAAGGCGACGAUCCCUAGCUGGUCUGAGAGGAUGACCAGCCACACUGGAACUGAGACACGGUCCAGACUCCUACGGGAGGCAGCAGUGGGGAAUAUUGCACAAUGGGCGCAAGCCUGAUGCAGCCAUGC
rnacentral:rRNA from 1 species